rnacentral:rRNA from 1 species
UACGUAGGCAGCAAGCGUUGUUCGGAGUUACUGGGCGUAAAGGGUGCGUAGGCGGCUUCUUAAGUCUGGUGUGAAAUCUCCCGGCUCAACUGGGAGGGUGCGCCGGAUACUGAGGGGCUAGAGUGUGGGAGAGGAAAGUGGAAUUCCUGGUGUAGCGGUGAAAUGACGUAGAUAUCAGGAGGAACACCUGCGGUGUAGACGGCUUUCUGGACCAUUGUUGACGCUGAGACACGAAAGCGUGGGUAGCAAACAGG